rnacentral:rRNA from 1 species
UGCGUAGGCGGAAUAUUAAGUCAGUGGUGAAAUCCUGCGGCUCAACCGUAGAACUGCCAUUGAUACUGAUAUUCUUGAAUGUAGUUGGGGUAGGCGGAAUGUGUAAUGUAGCGGUGAAAUGCUUAGAUAUUACACAGAACACCGAUUGCGAAGGCAGCUUACUAAACUAUGAUUGACGCUGAGGCACGAAAGCGUGGGGAGCGAACAGGAUUAGAUACCCUGGUAGUCC